rnacentral:rRNA from 1 species
UACGUAGGAUGCAAGCGUUGUCCGGAAUUAUUGGGCGUAAAGAGCGAGCAGGCGGUGUACCAAGUCAGAUGUGAAAUAUCCCGGCUUAACCGGGAGGGGCCAUUUGAAACUGGUAGACUAGAGUGGAGCAGAGGACAGUGGAAUUCCCGGUGUAGUGGUGAAAUGCGUAGAUAUCUGGAGGAACACCGGUGGCGAAGGCGGCAUCCUGGACCGGCAUUGACGCUGAGGCGCGAAAGCCAGGGGAGCAAACGGG